GCAAGUCGAGGGGCAGCGGGGGUAUUUUUACCCGCCGGCGACCGGCGCACGGGUGAGUAACGCGUAUGCAACUUACCUAUCAGAGGGGGAUAACCCGGCGAAAGUCUGACUAAUACCGCAUGAUGCAGGGGCCCCGCAUGGGGAUAUUUGCUAAAGAUUCAUCGCUGAUAGAUAGGCAUGCGUUCCGUUACGCAGUUGGCGGGGUAACGGCCCACCAAACCGACGAUGGAUAGGGGUUCUGAGAGGAAGGUCCCCCACAUUGGUACUGAGACACGGACCAAACUCCUACGGGAGGCAGCAGUGAGGAAUAUUGGUCAAUGGGCGUGAGCCUGAACCAGCCAAGUCGCGUGAGGGAUGAAGGUUCUAUGGAUCGUAAACCUCUUUUAUAACGGAAUAAAAUGUGGGACGUGUCCUAUUUUGUACGUACCUUAUAGAAUAAGGAUCGGCUAACUCCGUGCCAUCGGCCGCGGUAAUACGGAGGAUACGAGCGUUAUCCGGAUUUAUUGUGUUUAAAGGGUGCGUAGGCGGCCUUUUUAAUCAGCGGACGAAAGUCUGUGGCUCACCCAUCCAAUUGCGGCUGAAACUGGGGGGCUUGAGUAUGUUUGAGGCAGGCGGAAUGCGUGGUGUAGCGGUGAAAUGCAUAGAUAUCACGCAGAACCCCGAUUGCGAGGGCAGCCUGCCAAGCCAUGACUGACGCUGAUGCACGAAAGCGUGGGGAUCAAACAGGAUUAGAUACCCUGGUAGUCCACGCAGUAAACGAUGAUCACUAGCUGUUUGCGAUACACUGUAAGCGGCACAGCGAAAGCGUUAAGUGAUCCACCUGGGGAGUACGCCGGCAACGGUGAAACUCAAAGGAAUUGACGGGGGCCCGCACAAGCGGAGGAACAUGUGGUUUAAUUCGAUGAUACGCGAGGAACCUUACCCGGGUUUGAACGCAUUCGGACCGAGGUGGAAACACCUUUUCUAGCAAUAGCCGUUUGCGAGGUGCUGCAUGGUUGUCGUCAGCUCGUGCCGUGAGGUGUCGGCUUAAGUGCCAUAACGAGCGCAACCCUUGCCACUAGUUACUAACAGGUGAUGCUGAGGACUCUGGUGGGACUGCCAGCGUAAGCUGCGAGGAAGGCGGGGAUGACGUCAAAUCAGCACGGCCCUUACAUCCGGGGCGACACACGUGUUACAAUGGCGUGGACAAAGGGAGGCCACCUGGCGACAGGGAGCGAAUCCCCAAACCACGUCUCAGUUCGGAUCGGAGUCUGCAACCCGACUCCGUGAAGCUGGAUUCGCUAGUAAUCGCGCAUCAGCCAUGGCGCGGUGAAUACGUUCCCGGGCCUUGUACACACCGCCCGUCAAGCCAUGGGAGCCGGGGGUACCUGAAGUCCGUAACCACGAGGAUCGGCCUAGGGUAAAACUGGUGACUGGGGCUAAGU
rnacentral:rRNA from 1 species